ensembl:lncRNA
CCAGGCUUGGCCGCUGAGCACUGGUGGAUUGCGGAAGUAUAUGUACUACUGACUGUUCCUGGGGGCUUGGGUUAGCCAGAUUGUAGCGCAUAUCUAAAUAGCGAGCUUAGUAAACUUAUAGCAUCUCGUUGCUUAAAUUAAAGAAAUCCACGGGAACCCUCCCUUGAGAUACCAGAAACAUGCCAACCAAGUGGUUCUGAUCUGCAGCGGUGAAGUUGUGCGGCGUUGAGGAGUUUUGCGGCGGAUGCUGACAGCUACUGGCCUGGACUCCGUCCCCACACCAGAGGUCUUUAGAAGGGCUAAAUUCAACUGUGGACCUGAGGUGGAGGAUCCAUUGUGGAAAUUGCUCGCCAGUGUUCUUAAAACAUGUAACAUAAUUUCUGUUGAAGCCCCAGAGUUGCCAGAGAUGGCCUCUGACCACAGGAGGCUGGUGGCCGUCGGUCUGUGGCAGAGUGGCUACCAUGUCGACUGGAUCAGAUGUGUUGGAGAGCAGGGGGGGGAGUUUGUCCGCUGCAGUAGGGAGCUGCUCCUGGCCCUGGGCUGGCUGUUGGCGACAGGCGCCGUGGAGACCUUGCUGGCCCACAGAGCGAAGCAGCUUGACUCCACGCGGCGGGACCCUGCAGUGAUGACUCCUCCCACUGUGGGGGAGGCCCAGAUGGACCGCCCCUCUCUGAGGAAGCUUCAGUGGCUGUUUGGCUCUUUGAGGUCCCAGAGGCGGAGCCUUCUAUCAAUGCAGGAAGAGCAGAGCAAGCUCGUGACCAUGGCCCUGUCGGUCGGCCUUUCCUCUUCAUCCUCCUCAAUGUCAACCUUCGUCUCUGACACUAACUCUGCACUGCAGGAGGAGUGUGUCCGUAUGCAGGACCUGAGCCAACUCCUGAAGUCAUACACCGACUGGAAACACACAGAGAAGCUGUUCUGGGUGUGGAUGGACAGCGUGGUGGAGGGCCAUGCGACAGACCAGAGGGUGGCGUGUCCGCUGGAUUCAGACGCUAAUGCCUCGGCCAAUAGGAGCAGAGCUGUCUGUCCCCAUGGUGACUGGGGCCUUGAGUGCCUCAACGACAUGCUGUUGGGACUUCCGACAGUGCAGAGAAAGAGAGGACAGCGAGGAGAGGAGAAGGAGCCAGGAGGACGUCGUCGGGGACAGGAGAGCGAUGACAGACCACCAGCGGAGCGCGACGGCGGGACAGCCCCCCCCCUGCCCCCCUGCCUCUCUCCUUCAGCACAGGGGUACAGGCUCAGGCUCCAGGGGGAGGCUGGGGACCCUGGGGCCCUGAGGGCCUCUGAGAGACGCCGGCUGCUGAUGCUGACAGAGUCCUCCUUACUGGAGGGGAGGGAGAGAUGCCAACGGGCCAAUAGGAUGCAGUUCCAGGAGAUGAUUGGCAGGCUAGAGGAUAUGGUGUUGAUAGCACCUUAAGUGAUUUCAAGUCUACUGAAUAAAAAAAACAAUACUGUGUGUGUGUGUGUGUGUGUGUAUGACACUUAUUGGCUCUUAUAUUCAUACCAAUCAUCUUUUAAAUCCACUCAAAUCGAUUAUCAUUAAAUCAUUUUAAUAAUUGCUACAAAGGAACACCGUUAGGAUACAGCAAUACAAAAAAAAAUCUGAAAUGACAGUGAUUUCUAAAUGAAAAUAAAUAAAUUACAAUGUGCAGGUGUAGUUAAUAUAGAUUUGCCCUGAGUUGAAUUACAUUUUGUUGUGUGGUAAUUGUUGUGCCUUAAUGAGAUGUCUUUUAAGGGCCUGCAUCACAGGACAUGUGUCACCUGGUGCACUGUCAUGUAAAAUAUUGAUGCAAUGCCGGACCUUGAAUUUCCUCAUGAAAUUUAAAUUUUAACGUCUUCCUUUGUUCUAAAUGACAACAUUGUCAUUGAUUUGGUCCAGCUGGUUCCCUGACAACAUUGGGUAAAACCAGGGUCAAACCCGC